AACGAACGCUGGCGGCAUGCCUAACACAUGCAAGUCGAACGAGGCCUUCGGGUCUAGCGGCGCACGGGUGCGUAACGCGUGGGAAUCUGCCCUUGGGUUCGGAAUAACUCGCCGAAAGGCGUGCUAAUACCGGAUGAUGUCGUAAGACCAAAGAUUUAUCGCCCAGGGAUGAGCCCGCGUAAGAUUAGGCAGUUGGUGGGGUAAAGGCCUACCAAACCUACGAUCUAUAGCUGGUCUGAGAGGGCGAUCAGCCACACUGGAACUGAGACACGGUCCAG
rnacentral:rRNA from 1 species